GAAGCGCACCAGGCCGUCGCUGGCACGAUACCCCGAAAGGGAGUGCUGGAGGAACGUCCGGACUGCACAGGACAGCGUAGGAGGUAACACCUCUCCACCGACAAGCCCCGAGAGUUCGCUCGAAGGGCCCUAAGGUGAGGAUCAGAGCAACAGAGACGAGCCGAUUCAGUUCGGGUGAAACGGGCAAUCUCUACGCGCAGCAAUACCAAAUAGGCCAGCGUUGACGUGGUUCCGCGGAGCUGGCGGGUAGGUAGCACCGAGCCGGGUGGGCGACCCCCGGCCCAGAUGAAUGACGGUCACAUGCGGGGCCUUCGCAAGAAGGUUCUGCAUGCACAAAAUCCGGCGUAUCGGCGCGCUUCACAC
rnacentral:RNase_P_RNA from 1 species